ACACUCAGCCGGCCAAAGUGGGCUUGUGUGGCUUAUCACCUCCCUCCUCCCCCCCCAUCACGUAGAUGGUCUGGGUGCUAUGCGCCGUCGGCCCAAUUUUAUGUGUGGCUCACGGAAGGGAAGUGUGUUAAGAAUCCUUGCCCAGGUUUAUGCAUGAACUGGUUCCUCUUUUCUUCCUAUUUUGGGAGUCUAAAGACAGGGUUGGCGACACUUGUGGCUCUCCACAUGCUGGCUGAGAUUUCUGGGAGACCAGCAGCCUUUGGAGUGCCACUGCUUCCCCACUCUUGGGGAAAAAGAAAACCCCAGCUGCCAUAUUGUUACCUUGUCCUCUCUGGCAAGAGGAUGCUAAUCAACCCACCAAACAUUGCUGAGCCACACGCAUCUGCUCAACAAACCCUUCUGAGCCCUACUGAUAUGAAUCAAAUCUGGGCAGCAGCAAUGCUAGAGUGAUCCCUGGUCUCUUCUGAAAGACAGCUUAGUAUAUUUGAUGGUGUGAGCAGCUGUCCCUAAGCUCUUGGAAGAGGAGCAAAUGGGGAUCUAGGUUUCAUCACCUCUGGUGUCUCCAACUGUGCAGGCAUCUUCAGAAAUUAACAUGUUUACAUCAUGGUGUCUAUGAGCCUUUGGGGAAGGAAAGGAAGCGGGAGAAAGCUGCAUAAGGGCUUCAAGGUUUGGUGGUUUUUAAUUUUCAUCUGUAUGCUUUAAGGAAGUGUUCAUUCUGCUAGACGUUAGCUGGCUUUGUAAACCAUCUGUUAAGAAUCAGAUUCUACAGCUGCCUUACUAAGAAUGGUAUGAGGGGUAGAAACUCCCUCCCUGCAUUUCAUUCUGUAUUAUUUACUGUAAUAAUAUAUACUUUAUUUCAAAACAAAUGGAUGUAAAUAGCAAUUAAAUGCAACUUUGAAUGAA